rnacentral:rRNA from 1 species
AGCGCAGGCGGUUUGAUAAGUCUGAAGUAAAAGGCUGUGGCUUAACCAUAGUAUGCUUUGGAAACUGUCAAACUUGAGUGCAGAAGGGGAGAGUGGAGUUCCAUGUGUAGCGGUGAAAUGCGUAGAUAUAUGGAGGAACACCGGUGGCGAAAGCGGCUCUCUGGUCUGUAACUGACGCUGGGGCUCGAAAGCGUGGGAGCAAACA